UAAUACGUAGGGUGCAAGCGUUGUCCGGAUUUAUUGGGCGUAAAGAGCUCGUAGGCGGUUUAGCAAGUUGGGUGUGAAAACUCCAGGCUCAACCUGGAGAUGCCACCCAAGACUGCUAUGACUUGAGUCUGGUAGGGGAGCACGGAAUUCCUGGUGUAGCGGUGAAAUGCGCAGAUAUCAGGAGGAACACCGGUGGCGAAGGCGGUGCUCUGGGCCAGUACUGACGCUGAGGAGCGAAAGCGUGGGUAGCAAACAGGAUUAGAUACCCUGGUAGUCCACGCCGUAAACGUUGGGCACUAGGUGUGGGACCUUAUCAACGGGUUCCGUGCCGUAGCUAACGCAUUAAGUGCCCCGCCUGGGGAGUACGGCCGCAAGGCUA
rnacentral:rRNA from 1 species